UCUUCCUCGUUUAUUAUUUAACAGGAACAUCCAGAGAAAGCCAGAAAACAAAACAAGGAAAGCUUUAGGAUACAGAAGGUUAGAGUAACCAUGGCCCCCUUGCCCCAGUCUCUGUGCUGCCCUGGGCCUUUCUGCAGACCACCCUUGAGCCGCAUCUGCCUCCUGAGCUGGGACCGAGGGACCCCUCUGCGCCUCUCUUGACAAUGUCCGAACGCAAUGCCGCCUCGUUCCCGCUCCGGUCAUUUGCCCACGUCGCUCAGCGUGGUCUGCCUCUGCGGGGGACCAUGGGGCUGGCAGUCGGACGUCUCCGCAGUCUUUCCUGGCCUUCCACACAGCCGUGCCCCCGCUGGGCAACCCGAAGGUCUAAAGGGUCUGGAGUCAGGGCUUGGCCUUUCUUGCUUCAGGCCAGGUCUGGGGUGGGCCCCAUGAAGCCAGCUGUCCACUCCUGGAAGGCCUUUGGGGCCACUCUGGGCCUAGUGGCGGUCAUUGCCAGGCCCAGGCCAGGCCAGUCUGCCAGGUGCUUCGUCCAGGCUUGGGCCGCACAGCGCCUCCACUCCCUCAGGGGAACCUAACAACCGCCAAGGAGGGCAGGGCAUCACAAAAUGGAGGACGAUGGAGGGAAAUGAUGGAGGAGGUGACCAAAUACGAAGACCAAAGCAAUCAUUGAAGCCCAAACUUAGGCUCCUUACUCCUUAGUCGGGUUCAAAGCAGAGGACACUGAGGGAGGAAAGGAGGGAUGCCAUGGCUAACGGGCCUUGCCUCAGGCUCACCCUAAACUGGGAAGGAAGCGCUUUAACUAGGCCUAGGGCUGAGAGGAGGACUACAAGGCCCGGCGGCCCCUGCGCCGUUGCCGGGGCAACCGCGCCCUCGGCCCCGCCCCUUCCGGAGCUCACUGGCCCCGCCCCUUCCCCUUGCUGCCGCCGAAGUCCUUGGCUCUGGCCGCGGCCUCCUCCUUCAGUUCGCGGAGGAAGGCGUCGCGCAGGCGCAGUCCGCGGGUCAGGGCCGAGGCGGUGAGGCGGGCGGCCGCCCGGAUGGGCCUGGCCUCGGAGACUCGCUCCACGAGGCGCGGGUCCCGCAGCAGGAGCCCCAGCAGCAGCCGGCGGAGAACCAUCGUCGCCGGAAGGAGCUGCCUCCCUCCGGGUGCCCCGCCCCUUCCGGAUGCUGCCCUCCCUUCCGCUUCCGGCAACAACAAGAUUCUGCAAGGAGGAGAACUGGGAAGCAAAGCGUCGAGGCCGCAGCAGGCCCCGCCCCUUCCGGAAGAGUAGCCAGCGGCAGUAGGAGGGGGAGGAGCCCCUGCUGGGCCCAGGCGUCGUGUCUGGAGAAAUGAAAAGAAGGGCUUCUGCAGUGGCGGCUUAUGAAGCAGCGGCAGGUCAAGCAGCAGAGGCACAUGCCCAGGAGGAGCACUUGGCAGGAACUGCAGUGGCCCCUCUGAACCAGCUGUGGAGGAGUGUGGGACUGUGCCAGAGGAGGAGGCGGUGGGGUCGUCACCACCGCUGGCGCCAUUGACAUCCAGUGAGCACCAGCAGCAGGUGGGCAGGGUCCCUGUUUGCCAUGGAGAUGGGCAGCAGCUUCCCUUGGCCUUGACUGCUUGCAGGAAAGAGGAGGAGAAGGAGAGAGGGUUUGGCCAGAGCCCUUCAAAUGUUCCAGAGAUGAUUUCUUUGAGGAUUGACACAAUGAAAAACCUGGAGAGGGAACCCCCUGCAAAUCGUUACUGGGUUCAGAUACAAAUUUGGGGCAGCAGUUGAGGAGACAGCGGCCGGUGAGGCUCCAAGAAGGGAGGUGCCCCCACAGCAGCCAAACUGUGGGGAGGAGGGGGCCAAAGGGUCCUCUGGCCACCACUACCCCCCCCCCCCCAAGGAGGAUGAAGAGGAGAGAGAGAGAAGCUGGUGCAGAGACAAAGAAUUCAGCGCAUACACCAAUGGUUUGUUAGAAGACACCCCCCCCCCACUGAUGCCACCUCACAACGUCAACAUCGCCACCGGCCCCUUCCCCUUGAUUGAGCUCCGAGGCCACUGUGCACCCUCAACAUCAAGCAGAUAUUGGGUGCCUGUGCAACUGCCCCUCAGGCUGCAAGGCUAUGGAGCUGGACAACAAUGGAGUAGAUAACAUCAGCCUCAUCCAUCUCCAUUAAAAAGAAAAGAAAAAAGGGGGACCUUACUCCCCACCCUCGAUGAGGAAGAGGAAGAAUCAUAGCCCACCCCUACCAAAGUUGUAUAAGAGUCAAAUAUAGUCACAAUAAAAUGUUAUUGUUUGAAAGCA